AAUCAACGCUGGCGGCGUGCCUCAGACAUGCAAGUCGAACGCGAAAGUCCCCUUCGGGGGACAAGUAGAGUGGCGCACGGGUGAGUAACACGUAGGUAAUCUACCUUUGGAUGGGGAAUAACAACCGGAAACGGUUGCUAAUACCGCAUAAUGCAGCGGCACCUAAUGGUGACAGUUGUUAAAGCGGGGGAUCGAAAGACCUCGCGUCUAAAGAGGAGCCUGCGGCGGAUUAGCUAGUUGGUAAGGAAUGGCUUACCAAGGCUACGAUCCGUAACCGGCCUGAGAGGGCGGUCGGUCACACUGACACUGACAUACGGGUCAGACUCCUACGGGAGGCAGCAGUCGGGAAUUUUGGGCAAUGGGCGAAAGCCUGACCCAGCAACGCCGCGUGAAGGAUGAAAUCCCUCGGGAUGUAAACUUCGCAAGAACGGGAAGAAUAAGUAGGGGACAAUACCCCCUAUGAUGACGGUACCGUUUGUAAGCUCCGGCUAACUCCGUGCCAGCAGCCGCGGUAAG
rnacentral:rRNA from 1 species